GAGUUUGAUCCUGGCUCAGGAUGAACGCUGGCGGCGUGCUUAACACAUGCAAGUCGAACGAACCUUCGGGUUAGGGGCGGACGGGUGAGUAACGCGUGAAAAUCUGCCCUCAGGAGGGGGAUAACAGUUGGAAACGACUGCUAAUACCCCAUAUGCCGAGAGGUGAAACGAAUUUUGCCUGGGGAUGAGCUCGCGUCUGAUUAGCUUGUUGGUGGGGUAAAAGCCUACCAAGGCUUCGAUCAGUAGCUGGUCUGAGAGGACGAUCAGCCACACUGGGACUGAGACACGGCCCAGACUCCUACGGGAGGCAGCAGUGGGGAAUUUUCCGCAAUGGGCGCAAGCCUGACAGAGCAACGCCGCGUGAGGGAUGAAGGCCUUUGGGCUGUAAACCUCUUUUCUCAAGGAAGAAGACCUGACGGUACUUGAGGAAUAAGCCACGGCUAAUUCCGUGCCAGCAGCCGCGGUAAUACGGGAGUGGCAAGCGUUAUCCGGAAUUAUUGGGCGUAAAGCGUCCGCAGGCGGCCGUUUAAGUCUGUUGUUAAAUCGUGGAGCUCAACUCCAUCACGGCAAUGGAAACUGUUCGGCUUGAGUAUGGUAGGGGCAAAGGGAAUUUCCGGUGUAGCGGUGAAAUGCGUAGAUAUCGGGAAGAACACCAGUGGCAAAAGCGCUCUGCUGGGCCAUUACUGACGCUUAUGGACGAAAGCCAGGGGAGCGAAAGGGAUUAGAUACCCUGGUAGUC
rnacentral:rRNA from 1 species